UACGAAGGGGGCUAGCGUUGCUCGGAAUCACUGGGCGUAAAGGGCGCGUAGGCGGCGUUUUAAGUCGGGGGUGAAAGCCUGUGGCUCAACCACAGAAUGGCCUUCGAUACUGGGACGCUUGAGUAUGGUAGAGGUUGGUGGAACUGCGAGUGUAGAGGUGAAAUUCGUAGAUAUUCGCAAGAACACCGGUGGCGAAGGCGGCUAUCUGGACCGACAUUGACGCUGAGGCGCGAAAGCGUGGGGAGCAAACAGG
rnacentral:rRNA from 1 species